CUCCUCAGUCUAUCUUCUUUCUCUCUGGAGACUUCUCAUCUGCUCUCAGAUCUGAGAUGACAUCUCAUUAUUUCCUCCCUCACUCUCUCCGUUUCUCACCCCUCCUCCGGUCUCCGUCGCUCAGAGCCAGGCUCCGCCUCUCAUCUUUCACACCCUCUCUGCGUCUCCUUUAGACUACGACUCGUACUGGUCCAGAUCUCUCGAGUCUGGCCUUUGGGGCUGAGCACAACGUAGAUAUUCGAAGAUGGGCUUAUACUCCUCCACUUCUCCGGUGACCGGCGGUCGGCUACUCUCCUUCGAGGCAAAGGCCAAAGCCGUUAACACUCCAGCUCUCUACAGAUCCGGGAGAUCUCCAUUGAAGUUUCGAGUUUGUAGACUUCUCCAGUAACUGUCUUUGGCCAUGAAAUUAUAAUAUGAGAAAAAGAGUUCCAAUCAACAAGUUGUGACUCUUCAAUUCUAGAGACUAUUGUCCAGACUUGCAUUAUAUGUGAAUAUAGUCAAAGAGCAACUGCAGCCCUAUGGUUGUGGUUUUGGGAUACUCGCUCUCGCUUCAUGUCCGUGUAUCCAAUUCAAUGUUCCGAUGCAGAAAGAAAGGCAAGAUUCAUGGGGUUCUAAUUAGCAGACAAAUGAGAAGCAGUAUACUAGCCAGAUCUCUGGAUCAAUAUUUGCUUAGAGGAGCUAACUAAAUUCAACACAGAACACUAGCUUUUCCCUCAAUCUUAUUUCACUAUGCUUUGUUUAGUUUGAUUUUUUUUGUAAUUGUAAAUUUGUAAUUAACUAGUAGGUAUUUUGCCCUUUUGGGUUGUGUAAAAUAUUGUAUUUAUAGUUCUGCAUAUUUUAUUUUUUAGAUUGGUUUUAAAAUUUUGUAUUUA